UUACUGAUGUAUGAAAACUACUCAUUAUUAUUUUUUUUUUAAGAUUUGAAGUUGGAUUGAGGAACUGUUCGGAAUGUUCUACGGAGAGGCAUUAUCUUGUAUAAUAGCGGUCAAGUUUGUAGAUUUUCACGUGUUAUAGCAUUUUGUUUGGUUCUAGAACCGUAAAUGGAGGAAGGCAUUUGAUGGUGUGUUUAACAAAUAUUUUGGUGCAUAUAUUCCAUAUCGUUAUUUUGGAUUUUGUCAUAGUGUAAUGUUAAUGUGUAAUAUAUGUAGUUUCUAUACAUAUACACGCAAAUGGGAAUUGCCAUAUUUACUUUUGACAUAUUCUUUGACAACUGGCAGGACAUGGAAGCAUGUUUACAUAUACAAGUGCCUGUAUAUACAGAUUCUUCCCUGCUAUUUUUAUGCGACGCCAUAAACCCAUACUCAGCACACGGCUUGUAACUGUAUCAUUGAAAUUUCAAAAACUUGGGAAAAAAAAUGCUGGCAAAAAUGCAACUUCGUUGGAAUAAAAGUGAAAGCUUAAAGGACAUGACAAGUUUGGAAAGCGUAAUGCCUGGUAGAGGUUAAAGUAAGAAUAUUGAAGACUUCGCUAGGCAGCAAUUUUUGUUUAUAUAUUAACCAAUUACUUAUGUAUUCUCAAUUUGUUAUGGUGAAAUAUUUUUGGAUACGUGCGUAAUUUGACGUCCAUGUUUGUUAAAGAGUCGGUCGAUUUUUUUUCAAAGUGACUAUCGCAGAAUAGCUUGGAUGUAUGGAAAAGACGAACUGUAUAAAUGGCAUUUCACUAUGUUUUGUAUGUUAUUUUGAUAAUUAAAUGUUAAGAAUAUAAG
rnacentral:misc_RNA from 1 species